GACGAGCCACACGAACGUUAUUCGGAAUUACUGGGCUUAAAGCGCUCGCAGGCGGUCGUUCAAGUCGCGUGUGAAAGCCCCCGGCUCAACUGGGGAGGGUCACGCGAUACUGAUCGACUCGAAGGCAGGAGAGGGUAGUGGAAUUCCGGGUGUAGCGGUGGAAUGCGUAGAGAUCCGGAAGAACACCGGUGGCGAAGGCGGUUAGCUGGGCAGUUGCUGACACUGAGGCGCGACAGCGUGGGGAGCA
rnacentral:rRNA from 1 species